ACAUGCAAGUCGAACGAUAAAGUCCCUUCGGGGGCGAGUAGAGUGGCGCACGGGUGAGUAACACGUGGAUAAUCUGCCAUCAGGUCUGGAAUAACCUUUCGAAAGGAAGGCUAAUGCCGGAUAAGACCACAGCACUUAAGUGUAGUGGUAAAAGAGGGGGACCUUCGGGCCUUUCUCCUGGUGAUGAGUCCGCGUCCCAUCAGCUUGUUGGUAAGGUAAUGGCUUACCAAGGCUAAGACGGGUAGCUGGUCUGAGAGGACGAUCAGUCACACUGGCACUGGAACACGGGCCACACUCCUACGGGAGGCAGCAGUGGGGAAUAUUGCGCAAUGGGCGAAAGCCUGACGCAGCGACGCCGCGUGAGGGAAGAANGUUUUCGGAUCGUAAACCUCUGUCAGGGGGGAAGAACNGUCUGGUGUGUAAUAUACAUCANAUUUGACCGUACCCCCCAGAGGAAGCAUCGGCUAACUAUGUGCCACCAGCCCCGGUAAUACAUAAGAUGCNAGCGUUUCUCGGAAUUACUGGGCGUAAA
rnacentral:rRNA from 2 species